UCUCAGGUGGUUCAGUGGUCAAGAAUCCACUCACAAUGCAAGAGACACAGGUUUGAUCCCUGUCUGGGGAA
rnacentral:tRNA from 1 species